rnacentral:rRNA from 1 species
AGCUCCAAUAGUGUAUAUUAAAGUUGUUGCAGUUAAAAAGCUCGUAGUUGGAUUUCGGAAUGUCGUAGACUAAGGUCGAUCGUAAUGAUACGUACCGAGUCUACACUUCCUUCUUUUCGGACACGUGCCAUUCUCGGCCCCAGUUGGUCGGUUUGGGUAAACACGUCCCGAAUCAUUUACUUUGAAAAAAUUAGGCUGUUCAAAGCAGGCGUAAUAUUGGCCUUGAAUACAUUAGCAUGGGAUAAUGGAAAAGGACCACUGGUCUUAUUUUCGUUGGUUUCUGAGGCUAGGGUAAUGAUUAAUAGGGAUAGUUGGGGUCACCAGUAUUUAAUUGUCAGAGGUGAAAUUCUAAGAUUUAUUAAAGACUAACUACUGCGAAAGCAUUUGACAAGGAUGUUUU